AAAGUAAUGCCUACCUGGUUGCAGUGUUUCGCUACUAAGGCAGUGAUUCUUACGAUAGCACUGACUCCCACGCUUGACCUUUUAUUAUGAGAAUUCAAGGUAAGACAUUCAGGAAUCUUCAAUUAAUGAGAAUGCAUUUUUACUAUGAAGUCCUUAUUAAUGGAGAACUUAUUAUUCUAAGUAACUAACCAAAGUAGUUUUAUUAAUAAUCCAGAAGAAUAAAUAAUGAAACUAAGUUAAAGACUUUGAUUAAUGAGCUGGAUUUAAAAUUCUCAUUAAUCAUACCAACUUAGGAUAUUUAAUACCUUCGUAGAUAAUUUAGAGUUAAUCCAAUUAACUCCAAAAGCUAAGUUAAUAAAUU
rnacentral:lncRNA from 1 species